rnacentral:rRNA from 1 species
CCUACGGGAGGCAGCAGUGGGGGAGAUUGCACAAUGGGGGGAACCCUGAUGCAGCGAAGCCGCGUGGGGGAAGAAGGGCCUAGGGGCGGAAAGCCCGGUCAGCAGGGAAGAAAAGUACGGUACCUGAAGAAGAAGCCCCGGCUAACUCCGUGCCAGCAGCCGCGGUAAUACGUAGGGGGCAAGCGUUAUCCGGAUUUACUGGGUGUAAAGGGGGCGCAGACGGCGAUGCAAGCCAGGAGUGAAAGCCCGGGGCACAACCCCGGGACUGCUCUUGGUACUGCGUGGCUGGAGUGCAGGAGGGGCAGGCGGUAUUCCUGGUGUUGCGGUUACAUGCGUAGAUAUCAGGAGGAACACCGGUGGCGAAGGCGGCCUGCUGGACUGCAACUGCCGUUGAGGCCCGAAAGCGUGGGGCGCAAACAGGAUUAGCUACCCUUGUAGUC